rnacentral:sRNA from 1 species
GUCCACGAAACGGCGGACCACAGCCAUACCCCACCCAGGACAAUGGCAGCAGCCGGCCACCAUCUCGUUGUCAUGGCGAGAAGUCCGGUUGC